rnacentral:rRNA from 1 species
UACAGAGGUCUCAAGCGUUGUUCGGAUUCAUUGGGCGUAAAGGGCGCGUAGGCUGCGGGGCAAGUCGGGUGUGAAAUCUCAGAGCUCAACUCUGAAACUGCACUCGAUACUGCUUUGCUGGAGGACUGGAGAGGAGAUUGGAAUUCACGGUGUAGCAGUGAAAUGCGUAGAUAUCGUAAGGAAGACCAGUGGCGAAGGCGAGUCUCUGGACAGUUACUGACACUGAGGCACGAAGGCCAGGGGAGCAAACGGG